rnacentral:piRNA from 1 species
UGACACUGUCGCCUCCGAAUUCUGGUC